rnacentral:rRNA from 1 species
UACGUAGGGGGCGAGCGUUGUCCGGAUUUAUUGGGCGUAAAGAGCUCGUAGGCGGUUUGGUAAGUCGGGUGUGAAAUCUCCACGCUCAACGUGGAGGGGCCACUCGAUACUGCCAUGACUCGAGUCCGGUAGAGGAGUGUGGAAUUCCCGGUGUAGCGGUGAAAUGCGCAGAUAUCGGGAGGAACACCCGUAGCGAAGGCGGCACUCUGGGCCGGAACUGACGCUGAGGCGCGAAAGCUAGGGGAGCGAACGGG